CCCAGGAGCUAAUCUCUCAGUGAAGAACUACUCAGCCCUGCUAAGGAGUACCACCUAGACUAAGAAGCUCACUUACUUGAGAGAAGAAGAAAAGGGUCUGGGGAGGCACCAGAGUCUUACUUCCUCAGCCUUUGGAAAAUACAGGGUGUUCCACAUCUCAAACCAGGCUGGGCAGGUACGGAAGAAUUCUAGAAGCCAACAGAGAAGAAUCCUCACUAACUGCCACAAGAAGAGACAGCAAGGGUUCCCUGGCCCCCUGCAGCA